rnacentral:lncRNA from 1 species
AGGAGCUUAUGCCACUCGACAGGUUGGAGAAGAGCGUAAGCCACUCGACGAGGAAGGAUAAGAAUAUGAGUCCUCCUUAAUGAAAAAAGCAUCAAGUUGACGUUAGAGAAUAGAUCUUUGAUGAAAAAUGAAAUAGAAAGCCGAGCGAGUUAGACUAACAAGCUCUUUAUGUAUCGUAGGAAUCAUUAGAACCGCAGGCCCUAAGACCCUAAAGACACGAGCUCCACAAUGGAAGUAGGAGCAUCAACCAUUUGUCGAAUCGAAAGCCGUUCUUAAAGAGUUAUUGGAGUCACACGAGUAAGCAGUGAGUUUAGAGUUCGGGGUGUUUCAGGUGGGCUCCCGCUUAAUUAGUAGUCGUUUGUUUGGAAUUUCAUCAAUAGUAUUGUUUGGAAUUUCAUCAAGUGUGCUUUACUUAUGGUAUUUAUGUGCUCUUACUCUUGGGGUGC